CUUCUUCCAUUCCAUUUGGGCUUAAGUAAGAAGGCAGAAGAACCCCAAGUAGAUACACACUGAUUUUAGAAGGCAACUUCUUCUAAAGAGCUCACCAUGAUCUGGAAUCUUCUUUUCCUGGCAGUUCUGAAUGAUUUUUCAGGUGUCACUUCACAACCCACCUUGACUCAGCCUGUCUCCCAGUCUGGAUCUCUAGGAGAAACCAUUAAACUCUCCUGUGCCAUCAGCAGCAGUCCAAGCACUAUUAACUGGAUUCAACAGAGAUCUGGAGAGUCCCCUCGCUUUGUACAUUGUGAUGGCUGCAGCAGCAGGGGACCAGGGAUCCCAGACCGAUUCACAGGAACCCGAUCAGGCAACAACGGCUAUUUAACCAUCACCAACCUUCAGGCAGAAGACGAAGCCGUUUAUUACUGUUGCAUGUGGUAUAGCAGUGGUAGCGUGUUCCACGGUGAGCCAAUCUGAUGGGGAACUGAGACAAAAACCUUCUUCCUCC